CCUACGGGAGGCAGCAGUGGGGGAUAUUGCACAAUGGGGGAAACCCUGAUGCAGCGACGCCGCGUGUGGGAAGACGGUCCUCUGGAUUGUAAACCACUGUCCCCAGGGACGAAAAUGACGGUACCUGAGUAAGAAGCCCCGGCUAACUACGUGCCAGCAGCCGCGGUAAUACGUAGGGGGCAAGCGUUAUCCGGAUUUACUGGGUGUAAAGGGAGCGUAGACGGCAGUGCAAGUCCGGAGUGAAAGGCGGGGGCUCAACCCCCGGACUGCUCUGGAAACUGUACGGCUGGUGUGCAGGAGAGGUA
rnacentral:rRNA from 1 species